AAGGACUUAUGUAAAUUUUUUUUCUCCUUCUACUUUAUUUCCUUUUAUUUUCUUUACAUAAAUAAAGUGGAGAGAAGGCUACUAACUUUGGAGAUCAUGCAGAGCUGGCUUUAGGCUACAGUUAAGAUAUGCAGUUGUCUAUGGCUGUAGGUUGCCUGGACCAGCCAUGGUGCUGAUGCCUGCGUGGAGGCAGGAGGAGAUGGAGAAGAGUACUCUGCACUGCCUCAAUAGCUGAAGUUUACUGUUGCUCCUGAUGUCAAGGAAUGUGUUGGAGGAGCCCAACUCUGGCCCAGGCUCUCUGCAUCUUCAGUGACAUGCUAUCAUGCUGUGUAUAGAGAGAAUAAGUUGUGUUCGUCCAGGAGAUGGGAAGGGACCUGUUUACCCUGCGGGUGCAGAAUCAGAGCAGCUAACGAAGGAUAUUGAUGUGGGUUCAAAGAUGGGUUUGCAUGAAUUUUGUGCCAGAAGCUGCCUUCACUUAACUGAACUGUAAGAGGGUAGUUGUUGCCCAGGCUUAGAGGAGGGCCAAGAUAGCCUAUUAACUUCCUGGUGAGCAGAGGAAUGCUAAAGAAUUGAGGACUGGGGACUGAUAAGCUGUGUGUUAAUUGAAUGUGCUGUUAAAAGUUAGAGUACUUGGUUUUCAUGUGUCAAAAAAUGUGGUUCUAAGGUAAUAUUAAAUUGUAUUUGUUAUGACCCCUGCGGAAAGGUUGAAGUAGGCAUGUCUUUAAUACACAGUUGUUCAGGGCCUCAGAGAUUCUGUAAAACUUGCCAAGAUAAAAUGUAAAUUCUAUAGUAUUAUAAUAAACCUGUUUUAAAAUUAACUGGAAUCA
rnacentral:lncRNA from 1 species